GUCUCCCUCACUCUCUCCAUUCCCGCACAGUCCUUAGAUCUCACCCACUCCACUCCCUCCGCUCUCCCCCCACAGCCGGCGACUUCAUCUCCCACCGCCGCCCCCUCUCAUCCCUUCCCCUCCACUCAUCCGACGUCGAUCAGGUGCGCGCACCCUCGUCUCCCACGGCGGCGGCGGCGAGGUGCAUGAGCGCGGCGUGCGGCGCGCCCGCCCCGACGGCGGCGGGGGUGGGCGAGUGGAGGAAGGACUGGCCGCUGCGAUCCGGCGGCUUCGCCGUGCUCUGCGACAAGUGCGGGGAAUAACCUGUCUUUAUGUUGAUGUUCCGGAUUGUGAGAUCAUAAUUUGGAGUCAGAUGAAUCCCGUGUGUACUUUACUUGGUUUCCCAACAGGAGACAUGACUAUUGUGCUGCUAUAUGAAGCACCCGUUGGCAUUGCAAUUUUCUCUUUUGAGGGGGACUACCUCAAUGAUCCAGCAAAGGACUUUUGAGUCUGAAAGAAUUCGUACGAAAUGAGACGGUGCCCUCCCCAGUUGACAUAGCUAAUAAUGCUAUUGACGAUCACCUGGCCAAGAGGCUCACCGACUUGUGUGGUUAUGAGAAGAAAUUAGUUGUAGGGUGUACUGAAUGUAAAGUAAUAAUUGAAAAGAACCUGGGAAUAACAUGUCUGCAUGUUGACGUUCCGGAUUGUGAGAUGAGAAUUUGCACUCAGAAGAAGCCCAUGCAUACUUUAUCGCCUAAAAGACUAUCAGAUCCUACUGAAGAUUCAACGAUAUUCUUACAUCAACAUGACAUUACUUGCAAGCUCGAGACGGUUAACGACUAUUGUUAAGGAAGCUCAUCGCUUGCAUCAAAUCGAAUUGCGUGAAAAGGAACGUUUGAAGUUCUUGCGCCUUCUUCUUAAGGAUUUUAUGAUUAAAUAUGGCAUUGACACUGAGAAUUGGAUUCUGAUCCAAUUUGCAACAGCUCUGAAGAUUAUUGUUUUAUGCCCCUGGAGCAUCAGAUGAAGGCCGUCGAAGAUCACAAGGGCAGCUUGCUGUUGUACAGGAUUUCAACACAUAAGGGCAGCUUGUUACAUUUACAGAAACUCAUGAUGUUGGCAAUGGUAAGGGGGUGAAAUCAUGAAGGCACGGUUGGGUUGCAAGGUGCUCAAACUCUCAUAUUGCGAUUUGCCUACAACUUUGUUUGUAUGUUUGGUUGUUUGUAGUUUGUUUCUGUGACCUGUACUAAACUAUAUAGCAGCUAUUUGCAGUCUGACAUACAUCUGCAUAUACAAAACUCAGAGAAGUCAUGGUAAAAACUUGCUGUUAAGCGACGAUAUAGGCGUCAUAAAGAACUUCAGUCAUUUGAUUGAAGCGCAGAUCUGUACACGAAGACCUUAGAAACAAAGCCUGGGUUAGGUGGGUGAGCAUGGAAAUCUAAGCUAGUCUGGGUUUGGCUCUGCAGUGUGGUAUCGGGGAACUGUUUGAAUUAGACUUCAGAUUUUAGCACCGCUUUCCUCAGUGUUUCAGGGUAAACAUGCCAUAUGUUGAGCAUCAAAUAUCUUGCGCAUGUGGGUUGAUAUGGUUCGAUCUGGUCCGGUCUGAUUCGUUGAGACCAAGGCUUAUUCGACUGGUUUGACGCAGUUGAAAGCGGAACAUAUGCAUGAUUUUUUGAAUUUAUUUGGUGGUUUGACCAGUUGAACUUCCUGUUUUUCAUGAUUAGAGAUUCAUUCACUGAACUUGACUACAGCUAUUCCCUUACCAUAUGAUGGUUACGCUUAUCAGUUUGGUACUGUUGUGGACCGGAUGAGGCCCUGAUUAUGAUUUUAGAUUAACUGACAGUUGUAUAUAUGUUUCUAAUAGUUGGUUCUGCUUCUCAUGUGUAGAUUAACUGACAGUUGUAUAUGUUUCUUGUGCCCAAACUGCUUUAUUGGAUAGCAAAGAAUUGUUAGCCCCAGUUAUCACACCAUUUGAAGCUGUAUUAGCUUUUAGCAGGUACAUGUCAUUAUUGAACACGAGUCCAUCAGGAUCGCCCUGAUUUCUACACGAAGACCUUACAAACAAAACCCGUGUUCAUACCUGGGGUUGAAUCCGUACAACAUACCUGGGGUUGAAACCGUACAUCAUACCUGGGGUUGAAACCACCCUGCGUCUGCAGCGGCGCCGACGGGAGCUCCUACGUCUGUGGCGGCGAUCCAGAAACGUGGAUGCGAGAUCCGUCUGGUCUUCUCGAGGGGUUCCGCGGCGGCGGCGCUGUCGAGUGCGCAGAUCGCACGACGGCUGCGCAGAUCGCAGGACGGUGGCGAUCCAGAUGGAAUCAGAUGGCGAGAUCCGGCGGGGUCUGGGGAUCGGCGGCAGGGCGAUUCCAAUGGACUCAGGCGGCGCUGUUUCUUUGGGCUACGUGCGUGGAUGGGGUUGGGUGGGUGUGGGGGUGAGGGGACGAAAAAACCCAGACGAAAGUGGUGGGACGAAAAAAAGCCGUGGACGUAAUCCUACCAACUCAGACAUUAGAAGUAGAGAUUCUCCCGUUGCAACUCACGGGCAUUUGUGCUAGUCAAUCGAAAUCACUCCACGACGUACGAAACCCCCGAUCGUUGCCAACACCGUCAGAGGGAGACGCCGCCGCCGCCGCAGCAUCUCCAAGGAGGGCAGUUUGAAUCCCUGCCGCCGACGUACGGGAUCGCCGCCGCCGAAAUCUGGGACACGCCGUCACCGCCGUCCGAGGGGAGACGCCGCCACCGCGUCUCCACAGCAGGGCGGUUUCAAUCCUUGCCGCCGACGUAAGGGAUGGUCGCCGCCAAACUCCGGGAGACACCGUUGCCACCGUCCGAGGGGAGACGCCGCCGCCGGGUCUCCAUGGCAGGGCGGUCUCAAUCCCAGGUAUGCGAAGGAGAUCUGGCUGCCAAAUAAUCUCCUUGCCAACUCAAUCCCAGGUACAUAUGGGGAAUCCACAAAGCAAAGCAGCGGAACAAAUGAUAUCGUCAGAUGUACCUGCAGAUCAGAUGGAGGGGACAAAUGUUGACGACUAUAACCUUCAGCCCGUAGCUCACGAUAUUGAUGAGAUUUACCCAAGUAGUCCUGACCAAAGAUCAGGUUCUUCCCCAACCCACUGAUGGUGAUAGCACAAAUGUUCAACGACCUUCCCAUCCGAUUUCAGAUGGCAACACAUAUUUCCGGUUGGUAUUUUAACAAGCAUGGAUGGGUAAAUAUUUCUUUUUAUUAUCAUAGCAUUCAAGAUACAAACAUUUAAUUUCAAUUUCACUAUAUUCAAUAUAAUAUUAAUUAUUUCAAUUUGCAGGGAUGUGUCCGGCUAUUUUCUUUCUAAUUUUAUGCUCUUGCAGAACGAUAAAAAAAAUGGUUCGUCUGGUUUGUGCGGAUGGCUAUAGCCGAGGAAGAAAUUUAUUAUACUUGCUCAAGUAUCCCAUGGGAUAUGGCCAUGAUGGACUUUAUUGACGGCCCGACACCAGGGAACUAUACUCGCUAUCCCAAGCUACUAGUUUAUUUAUAGAGUCAAGGGUGAGCAUGUGUCUGUGACCUGAUAUUGUACAAGAAUAUCUUUGCAAUGGUCGUCUUAUUCAAAACCUCAAUCAUCACAUCGCGCGGUGCAUAAAAUAAAUCUUAGCUUGUAACAGAUUAUUAGUUGGAUCAUCACUCUCUAUGUGUACAUCAUCAAAUUACCUUUUUAUCAACUUACACUACAUUGUGAAG
rnacentral:rRNA from 1 species